rnacentral:rRNA from 1 species
UGGGGAAUAUUGCACAAUGGGCGAAAGCCUGAUGCAGCAACGCCGCGUGAGUGAUGAAGGCCUUCGGGUUGUAAAGCUCUGUCUUUUGGGACGAUAAUGACGGUACCAAAGGAGGAAGCCACGGCUAACUACGUGCCAGCAGCCGCGGUAAUACGUAGGUGGCAAGCGUUGUCCGGAUUUACUGGGCGUAAAGGAUGCGUAGGCGGAUUUUUAAGUGAGAUGUGAAAACCCUAAGCUUAACUUGGGGACUGCAUUUCAUACUGGAAAUCUAGAGUGCGGGAGAGGAGAAUGGAAUUCCUAGUGUAGCGGUGAAAUGCGUAGAGAUUAGGAAGAACACCAGUGGCGAAGGCGAUUCUCUGGACCGUAACUGACGCUGAGGCAUGAAAGCGUGGGUAGCAAACAGGAUUAGAUACCCUGGUAGUCCACGCCGUAAACGAUGAGUACUAGGUGUAGGAGGUAUCGACCCCCUUCUGUGCCGCAGUUAACACAAUAAGUACUCCGCCUGGGAAGUACGAUCGCAAGAUUAAAAACUUAAAUGAAUUGACGGGGGUCAUAGCUGUUU